UAAUCAUCUUUGGUGACACAGCCCUUCAAGUUUCUCAGUUUGAAGUCAUUAAACAAAGACGAAAGAAAGAAAAAAUGCUAAAGGUACUGAGAAAAAUCUAGUGCUUACAGCUGGUCUCAGCAACUUCAACUUGCGCAAGACCCCGUGUUUGUGAAAACAGCCCAAGAAUCUUUGAACAGGAUGUAAUCAUCCUCCUUGCUGCUGAGAAAUACUGAAAAAAUGACUUCAGCUGCCAAAAAUAAUAAUGCCGUUCACAAGCAGCUCUUCCUAUGGCUAAGGGAGGACUAGCCACACAUGUGAGUUUCUGCUGGCUUCCAAGGAACAAGCAAGGAAAAUGACAAAUCCCAUCUACCCCACCCUAAAACGCACAGCAUCAGAACCCUGUGGGCAUCCGGGGCCCAUUCCAAAAGGUGCUGACAAUGCCAAGGAAGACUCACGUCUACAGAAAUCCGAACCAAAACAAACCAGUGAAGCUAAAUGAAGCUGAAGCUAUCACUGUUGUCCUGAACCAGUGACAUUGGAUUCCUCCCCAGGGGACCAGUUGCAUCUAUUUAAAUACAGUUUUAGAUGACUUCAGAAAGGGAAGACAAAGAGAGUUCAGUGACAAAAGUAUUCCAUGAUACAGACCAGAAAUAGCACUAUGGAGUGGAGAAUAGAAAAAUUCUGAGCCCUGGUUUUAAAGUUUUGGUUCAAGACAAAGACGAUAGUCACCUUGAAAGCUUUCUCUGCUGUUUUCAAGAGCUUCAGUUUGAAGAUUGUGGUCUGUAUGGGAUUUCACUGCCUAAGGGAGUUUCUGAAGUGGCUUCAUGAUUAGAAUUGAAAACCUUCCAGGUGCAACAGAAUAAGAUAUAGAAGAAAUUACAUCUUUUCUCCUUGUUAUGGAGUAGAUGAAAAAUUUUCUCAGUCCGAUUUUCAUCUUCCAUAAAGAAAGGGCAUUCUCCGAAUAUCUCUAUUCAACUCAGAUGAAUGUAUUACUGCAAAAUGAUUAGAACAUAUGUAGUGAUGUCUCUCCGUUGGUCUGCAAUACUGAUAUUCUCAUAGGGAGGAAGUUGAUAUGUGAGCCCGUCUUCAGCCGAUGCUUGUCAAUCCUGGUAGCUUUGGAUCCGUAAGGAGGGAAGGCCUAUACUUCCAGGAAUGGAAAGUUCCUACCUGUACUUCCAGGGAAGAAAAGUCCUUGUCAAGGUCCCUGUAGGUGCCUAAAGGUCAACCAAUGAGGACCAGACCCGCCUCAACUCCCAUGCCCUGAAUCUAUAAAAGGACCUCUCCCAAUCUCUGACGCGCAACUGCUCCGGCCCCUGCUCUGUUGCUCUGUUGAGGCCAUGGAACCUCGCCCGGGAAUGGAACUCCAGUAAAAGCCUGUGAAUUAA